rfam:Triticum aestivum genome assembly, contig: Triticum_aestivum_CS42_TGACv1_scaffold_404457_5BL
GCUUAGUUGGUAAAGCACGAGGCUCUUAACCUUGCGGACGUGGAUUCAAGUCCCAU